UGCAAUCUAUGAUGAAGAUUUUAUCCAAUCUCUAAUGAGGUAGCUGUGAUUAUAUCAAAUUAUCACCAUCUUUCGGCUGAGAUUGCA